GAUGAACGCUGGCGGCGUGCCUAAUACAUGCAAGUCGAGCGAACAGACGAGGAGCUUGCUCCUCUGACGUUAGCGGCGGACGGGUGAGUAACACGUGGAUAACCUACCUAUAAGACUGGGAUAACUUCGGGAAACCGGAGCUAAUACCGGAUAAUAUAUUGAACCGCAUGGUUCAAUAGUGAAAGACGGUUUUGCUGUCACUUAUAGAUGGAUCCGCGCCGCAUUAGCUAGUUGGUAAGGUAACGGCUUACCAAGGCAACGAUGCGUAGCCGACCUGAGAGGGUGAUUGCCUAGCCGGGAACUGAGGCACGGCCCAGACUCCUACAGGAGGAAGCAGUAGGGAAUCUUCCGCAAUGGGCGAAAGCCUGACGGAGCACCGCCGCGUGAGUGAUGAAGGUGCUCGGAUGGGAAAGCGCUGUUGUUAGGGAAGAAGAAAUGUGUAAUUAACUAUGCACGUAUUGACGGUACCUAAACAGAAAGCCACGGCUAACUACGUU
rnacentral:rRNA from 1 species